CCUGGCUCAGAUUGAACGCUGGCGGCAUGCCUAACACAUGCAAGUCGAACGGCAGCACGGUCCAGUUUACUGGAUGGGUGGCGAGUGGCGGACGGGUGAGUAUCGCGUAGGAAUAUGCCUUGAAGAGGGGGAUAACUUGGGGAAACUCAAGCUAAUACCGCAUAAUAUCUAAGGAUGAAAGCUGGGGACCUUUGGGCCUGGCGCUUUAAGAUUAGCCU
rnacentral:rRNA from 1 species